rnacentral:miRNA from 1 species
CUUGCCGAUAGAUUUGGGGAG